UGAGUUUGUAUUUAUGUGCCUUAAUGAGUAUUGGUUGUGUGAUCAGAACAGAUAUUUUUGUCCUCAUCCCUGUCCAGAGAGAAUUUAGAUUCAUUCCACGUCAAAACAUUUGGUUCCUCCAAUUCGGAAUUGAGGGAAAGCUGUCACUGUCUCCUACAGUCAAAGAGCAAUUCAUCCAAGCCAACAACCAUACCAACUGCUGAUUGACUGUACAGGGAGUGACAUUGAC